ACAGCACACCCCUAACUCUCCAGUGUCUGCUUACCAAAGAGCUGAACUGAUAACAGCAUGCUUCAGUAAAAACCAUGUUUUUGUGUGCAUGGUGAUUAGAGCAUAUGCAUCAAAGAUAAUGAGAAGACAUGAUGAGAGAAAACUUACACCACCUGGCCUCAAUUUUGCUUCAGUCCUGCUGCUUCCAGUUCCAGAGGGCUGGGAUGACAGUUUUUCAAACUUGUACAACCACUUUGGAAAUCAAUCUGGAGGUUUCUCAUAAAAUUGGGAAUAAAUCUACCUCAAGACCCAGACAUACGACUCCUGG